GCAAAAGAGGCUUCAAAACAAAACAGAACAAUGAGAUAGAAUGACCGGACGUGGGAUGGGGGAACUAUUUUAGAUUUGGUGGCUUCUGAAGAGAGGACAUUUAAGCUGCUAUAUGAACACCAAGGAACCAACCUUCUGAAGAUCUGUGGUUAUGUCCCUGGCAGAGGGAACACUAAGAGUUGUACACUCAAAGCAAAUCUGUGUGGGGAUGAAGAGUCAGGAUCCAAUGGCCAUCUGUUUUACCAACAGGAGAAAAGGAGCUCCCACACUGGUAGAGUAUUCCCAGCAUGGUUUGACAAUGGGAUUUAAUCAGGCUUCAAGGCAAAACUUCAAAGGUUUGAGUGACAUCAGCAUCAUGGCGGAGUGAGCUGUUGCCUGAUAUUCUCCUGUCUGGUAUACAAAAGAGGAUAUUUAGAUACUAACAGAGGACAUUCACACAGCACAAAAGAUGUCUCAGAGAUGAAAGCAGCCACAUGUCUGAAGGUGGAGGUACUGGAUCCCUUGGAGGAAAGGGAAGGAGCCCCCCGGUACAUAGUUGUAUAUUCUUCGAUGUGGGUCCUUCUACUUGUGGCAUGUGGGACGCUGCCUCAACGUGGUCUGAUGAGCAGUGUCAUGUCCGCGCCCAGGAUUUGAACCAACGAAACACGGGGCCGCCUGCAGCGGAGCGCGUGAACCUAACCGCUCGGCCACGGGGCCAGCCCCAAAAUGCAACUGAUUUUUGUUUUAUAUUCCUAACUACUUUGGAGCCAGCAGAUAUGGAUUCAGAAGUGACACGGGAAUAAAAAAUCUCACAACCUAGUGGAGUUAUUGUCAUAAAUGGCAACAAGACAGAUGCUUUAAUGAAGGGUAGAAUUGGAUUAUUUCAAUAAAUUGAGGAUUCCUAGUCUCAUUUGCGGCACCAUGAGUGGAAAUGGACUCUUUGGAGAGAUCUUCUGUUACCUGGCAAAACACUUGUGCGGAAGCAGUUCCUGGUACGUCCCUGGAUUUCUAGGUAGGAUGAUGAUGGGAAACCUGCACAGGGCCUGGGCCCCCAAGGAGGGAAGAAAACAAAAUCUGUGUGUGAAGAUGGGAAAGCCAGUGAGACAGUUGUGGAAAUGUCCAGGGGACAGGAUCACUAACAUCAAGACUCAGCUGGAGCAAGUCCUUUAUCUUAAUGAGCCCUGGAAGAGGAUUUAGCUGUUCCUAUCUGGAUCUAGGAGCUACAGUGUUAACCAUCCAAGAACCGAAUGGAUACACAGCUUGGCCUUUACUUCUGGAUCCCAGAAGCUUUUUGUUUAGGUUUAUUGUUUUGAAUAAUAAUCCUGGAUCUUGUCACUGAAAUUUUAGAUUGUGAAGAUAUUUUAGAGAUUAACACAGAAGUAUAGAGAUUGUGUGAUGGAAUCCAAUAGGCCCAGUUUUAUUUCUGGUUCCAGUUCUGACUCCUUGGGCUAGUUAGUUAAUCUCUCUGAGCCUCAGUUUCCCCAGUUUCUACCUCACAGUGCUGUUGGGGAGAUCAAUGAAAUAAUGCAUGUUAGGAGCCAGUAUCUGGUGAAUAAAACCUAGUGGAUAUUAACAUUAUCAUCUUCAUUAUCAUUAUUGCCUGUUAAAAGUUUCAUUUUCAGCGAUUCAACUGAAGCAGCCAAGUCCUCCUGAUUCCAAACAGCCUAGAGAAGUGAGAGGACAUUGUUCCCAGAAGGAGGGAGAACAUCUUCGGGUCAAGAUGACAUUUCAAAUUUAGUUCUUGAUUCAUCUCAUGUUGGGACGAGUCGCUGGGCCAUUGCUAAUGUUUCCUUUCUGGCCUUUGCCCCGGCCCUCACAGGGAACUGGUCUAACGUUUAGAAGAGACUCAGGGUGGAAGGUUUGGUUGUGAUCCAGAAACACACAGCUCCUUAAAGCCAAGUUCCCAAGACAUUGCUCAGAGACAAAGUUUCACCAAGAGUAUCACCCAAACACCACAAGACAUCUGCUGGCUGAAAGUCCAUCCACUGUCUAAAGAGAAACAGGAAAAACAUCUGAAUUCUCUUGCGUUGGUACUAGCAACAACAAGAAGAAUUGCUAGUUGUCAAGCACUAACCUGUGGAAAUAAAAACCAUUCAAAUGAGAACAAGCAAAGGCUAUUUUCUCAGAGUUUGCUAUAGCAAGGGAGUCGGCCCCCAUCAUUUGCAGUUUGGCAGAGAUCCAGGCAGGCGGAGGACUGUAAAGCUUUAUAGUGGAGAGAAGGGAAGGAUCUGGAUGCCCCCUGAGUGGAGGCUGUGGCAUGGGGAAGCUGUAGGCGGGCUAACUAGAGGUGGACGUCCUAUGUGAUUGGUUAGGGGAGCACGUUUGGCUGUCACUGGUUGGUCCUAUGUUAGAAGCGGGACAAAAAUUAGGGAAGCUGCCAGUUAUUAAUUAAUCCCUGGCCAUUUGGGGCUGAUUGCUGCAGGGGUUAUUGUUUGGCUUUCUGGGCUGGUUGCUGGAGACAGUGGUCUGACUUCCUCCAAGUCUGAUUUGGAGAUAGCAGGCUGGCCUCCUGGGCUAGUCUGUAGAUAAUGGGUUGGUUUCCUGGGCUGGUUGCUGCAGACUGUGGGUCAGAGUUCUGUUUUAAUAUGUGAUCUGGCCAUUGUCCAUUUGUAUAUUCAGGCUCUUACGCUGUAUAUGUGGUACUGUGUUCACUGCUUUACACACGUCAACUUAUUGAAUACUUCCUUCUAUACAAACAGCACACUCUCCACAAUGUUCUGCACUGCUUGUUCUCCUGCACAGUGCACGCUGAAGAUCUUUCCGUAUCAAACAUAUAUUUUAAGUGCUAUAUUUUUAAAAUAGUGGCAUAAUAUUUCAUUGGAUAGAUGUACCAUUAUUUGUUUAACCACCCCCCAAACCCAACCUUGUUGCUAUUACAAAUUAGGGUGCAACACCUAUCCUUGUGGUGAUGACAGCUUGCAUGUACGGCAAUGGAUCUGUGGGAUACAUUCCUGGAAAUGGACUGCUGGGUAAAAGGGAAGCUCUGAUCAGGGUGACCCUGGCAUCCUUCAUGGAAGUCCCCAGUCCCUUACAGGCUGGGCCUCUCUCCCAUUCACUUCUCUGCUGGUCUGACUUCCACACCUUCUGUACUGGUCUCUCCUUGUGUAACCAGAUCAACCCUGAGCUAACAUCUGUUGCCAAUCCUCCUCUUUUUGCUGAGGAAGACUGGCCCUGAGCUUACAUCCAUGCCCAUCUGCCUCUACUUUCUAUGUGGGACACCUAUCACAGCGUGGCGUGCCAAGUGAUGCCAUGUCCGCACCGGGAUCCAAACUGGUGAACCCCAGGCCGCUGAAGCGGGACAUGUGAACUUAACUGCCAUGCCACUGAGCCGGCCCCGGAACUCAGACAUUCCUGAAGCCUGAGGACCUCAGGGCAGGUUUCUUGACCAGCCUGAACUGGUUCUGGCCACAGCUGUCCACAUCAAGUUCUGGGUCCUGACAGCACUGCUUGGACCAAACACAACAAGGCUGACAGGAUGGAAACCUGAAAAUAGUAACUUUAUAGCUUCAAGAAGGAAGAAAAUCUGUGAAUGUACUGAAAGCCAUUGAGAUGUACGUCAUCAAUGGGAGAAGUGUAUGAUUUCUGAAUUAUAUCUCAAUAAAGUUGUUUUCAGAAACAUAAGGAACUCUUAUUUAAUAGGAGCCAUGGGAGUUAGACUGGCUCCUGGAAGCCUUGUCAAGAUCCUGCUUCAAGAUAUGGAAGUGUAGGGUCCAUUUCAUUUUUGGUUUGUUUUCCUGUAAGUACAUGGUUCAUAUAUGUGAAAGUUGGCAGCCCUGGGAGCAGUGGUAUCGAAGCAUUGGUGUUGGUACUAGUCUGUUAAAAAGUGGGAUGUCAUUUGUGCUCUGUGCUUUCUAGAUUGUUGGCCUUUAGCAACUUCUGAGUCAUCCCUUCCUUUUGCUCUUGGAAGCUGCCCCCAGGGACUCUGUGUCCAACCAGCAUGAUGGGAGCCCUUGAGAAGUCCCUCACAAAAUAGGUGGCUGCAUCCUGCUGGGAUGUUUAUAAUGGGGAAAUCAUUAGGAGUGACAUGACCAACAGGUGAAUGAGUUGUGCUUUCUUUAGUAAAGUGUUCACGUCCAGAGUGUUGAUUUAUGCAAAGCUAAAAGGGUCCUUAAUGUCCUUAGGCUUGUCCAAAUAUAAAG
ensembl:lncRNA